UACGAAGGGGGCGAGCGUUGUUCGGAAUUACUGGGCGUAAAGAGCUCGUAGGCGGUCUGUCGCGUCGGAUGUGAAAACCCAGGGCUCAACCCUGGGCCUGCAUUCGAUACGGGCAGACUAGAGUAUGGCAGGGGAGACUGGAAUUCCUGGUGUAGCGGUGAAAUGCGCAGAUAUCAGGAGGAACACCGGUGGCGAAGGCGGGUCUCUGGGCCAAGACUGACGCUGAGGAGCGAAAGCGUGGGGAGCGAACAGG
rnacentral:rRNA from 1 species